rnacentral:rRNA from 1 species
GAUGAACGCUGGCGGCGUGCUUAACACAUGCAAGUCGAACGAUGAAGUCCAGCUUGCUGGGUGGAUUAGUGGCGAACGGGUGAGUAACACGUGAGUAACCUGCCCUUGACUCUGGGAUAAGCCUGGGAAACUGGGUCUAAUACUGGAUAUGACUUCUCAUCGCAUGGUGGGGGGUGGAAAGAUUUAUUGGUCUUGGAUGGACUCGCGGCCUAUCAGCUUGUUGGUGAGGUAAUGGCUCACCAAGGCGACGACGGGUAGCCGGCCUGAGAGGGUGACCGGCCACACUGGGACUGAGACACGGCCCAGACUCCUACGGGAGGCAGCAGUGGGGAAUAUUGCACAAUGGGCGCAAGCCUGAUGCAGCGACGCCGCGUGAGGGAUGACGGCCUUCGGGUUGUAAACCUCUUUCAGUAGGGAAGAAGCGAGAGUGACGGUACCUGCAGAAGAAGCGCCGGCUAACUACGUG